GAUGAACGCUGGCGGCGUGCCUAAUACAUGCAAGUCGAGCGAAAAGACGAGGAGCUUGCUCCUCGGACGUUAGCGGCAGACGGGUGAGUAACACGUGGAUAACCUACUUAUAAGACGGGGAUAACCUCGGGAAACCGGAGCUAAUACCGGAUAAGAUAUUGCACCGCGUGGUUCAAUAGUGAGAGACGGUUGUGCGGGCAGUUAUAGAUGGUUACGCGCUGGAUUAGCUAGUUGGUAAGGUAAUGGCCUAUCAAGGCAACGAGGCGUAGCCGACCUGAGAGGGUGAUCGGCCACACUGGAACUUGGACAGCGACCAUGCUCCUGCGGGAGGCCGCAGUAGGGAAUCUUCCGCAAUGGGCGAAAGCCUGACGGAGCAACGCCGCGUGAGUGAUGAAGGUCUUCGGAUCGUAAAGCUCUGUUAUUAGGGAAGAACAAAUGUGUAAGUAGCUAUGCACGUCUUGACGGUACCUAAUCAGAAAGCCACGGCUAACUACGUG
rnacentral:rRNA from 1 species